CGGGACACGUGGUAUCCUGUCUGAAUAUGGGGGGACCAUCCUCCAAGGCUAAAUACUCCUGACUGACCGAUAGUGAACCAGUACCGUGAGGGAAAGGCGAAAAGAACCCCGGCGAGGGGAGUGAAAAAGAACCUGAAACCGUGUACGUACAAGCAGUGGGAGCACGCUUAGGCGUGUGACUGCGUACCUUUUGUAUAAUGGGUCAGCGACUUAUAUUCUGUAGCAAGGUUAACCGAAUAGGGGAGCCGAAGGGAAACCGAGUCUUAACUGGGCGUUAAGUUGCAGGGUAUAGACCCGAAACCCGGUGAUCUAGCCAUGGGCAGGUUGAAGGUUGGGUAACACUAACUGGAGGACCGAACCGACUAAUGUUGAAAAAUUAGCGGAUGACUUGUGGCUGGGGGUGAAAGGCCAAUCAAACCGGGAGAUAGCUGGUUCUCCCCGAAAGCUAUUUAGGUAGCGCCUCGUGAAUUCAUCUCCGGGGGUAGAGCACUGUUUCGGCAAGGGGGUCAUCCCGACUUACCAACCCGAUGCAAACUGCGAAUACCGGAGAAUGUUAUCACGGGAGACACACGGCGGGUGCUAACGUCCGUCGUGAAGAGGGAAACAACCCAGACCGCCAGCUAAGGUCCCAAAGUCAUGGUUAAGUGGGAAACGAUGUGGGAAGGCCCAGACAGCCAGGAUGUUGGCUUAGAAGCAGCCAUCAUUUAAAGAAAGCGUAAUAGCUCACUGGUCGAGUCGGCCUGCGCGGAAGAUGUAACGGGGCUAAACCAUGCACCGAAGCUGCGGCAGCGACGCUGAUGCGUUGUUGGGUAGGGGAGCGUUCUGUAAGCCUGUGAAGGUGUGCUGUGAGGCAUGCUGGAGGUAUCAGAAGUGCGAAUGCUGACAUAAGUAACGAUAAAGCGGGUGAAAAGCCCGCUCGCCGGAAGACCAAGGGUUCCUGUCCAACGUUAAUCGGGGCAGGGUGAGUCGACCCCUAAGGCGAGGCCGAAAGGCGUAGUCGAUGGGAAACAGGUUAAUAUUCCUGUACUUGGUGUUACUGCGAAGGGGGGACGGAGAAGGCUAUGUUGGCCGGGCGACGGUUGUCCCGGUUUAAGCGUGUAGGCUGGUUUUCCAGGCAAAUCCGGAAAAUCAAGGCUGAGGCGUGAUGACGAGGCACUACGGUGCUGAAGCAACAAAUGCCCUGCUUCCAGGAAAAGCCUCUAAGCAUCAGGUAACAUCAAAUCGUACCCCAAACCGACACAGGUGGUCAGGUAGAGAAUACCAAGGCGCUUGAGAGAACUCGGGUGAAGGAACUAGGCAAAAUGGUGCCGUAACUUCGGGAGAAGGCACGCUGAUAUGUAGGUGAAGCGACUUGCUCGUGGAGCUGAAAUCAGUCGAAGAUACCAGCUGGCUGCAACUGUUUAUUAAAAACACAGCACUGUGCAAACACGAAAGUGGACGUAUACGGUGUGACGCCUGCCCGGUGCCGGAAGGUUAAUUGAUGGGGUCAGCGCAAGCGAAGCUCUUGAUCGAAGCCCCGGUAAACGGCGGCCGUAACUAUAACGGUCCUAAGGUAGCGAAAUUCCUUGUCGGGUAAGUUCCGACCUGCACGAAUGGCGUAAUGAUGGCCAGGCUGUCUCCACCCGAGACUCAGUGAAAUUGAACUCGCUGUGAAGAUGCAGUGUACCCGCGGCAAGACGGAAAGACCCCGUGAACCUUUACUAUAGCUUGACACUGAACAUUGAGCCUUGAUGUGUAGGAUAGGUGGGAGGCUUUGAAGUGUGGACGCCAGUCUGCAUGGAGCCGGCCUUGAAAUACCACCCUUUAAUGUUUGAUGUUCUAACGUUGACCCGUGAUCCGGGUUGCGGACAGUGUCUGGUGGGUAGUUUGACUGGGGCGGUCUCCUCCUAAAGAGUAACGGAGGAGCACGAAGGUUGGCUAAUCCUGGUCGGACAUCAGGAGGUUAGUGCAAUGGCAUAAGCCAGCUUGACUGCGAGCGUGACGGCGCGAGCAGGUGCGAAAGCAGGUCAUAGUGAUCCGGUGGUUCUGAAUGGAAGGGCCAUCGCUCAACGGAUAAAAGGUACUCCGGGGAUAACAGGCUGAUACCGCCCAAGAGUUCAUAUCGACGGCGGUGUUUGGCACCUCGAUGUCGGCUCAUCACAUCCUGGGGCUGAAGUAGGUCC
rnacentral:rRNA from 1 species